CUAGGCUGAAAGCCAAUUGGAAUCAACCAACCCUAAACACAUGGUUAAAUUUUGAAUCUCGAGUCUCAGCAGACAUAUUAGCGCAAAGCUCAAAGGUUGUAGUUAUCAAAGAUUUUGUCAGAAGUACAGUAUUCCAAAAAGAUUGAUGCUACCUCGAUUUAACGUUAAUCACUAAGCCCAUUAAGCUUCUGUUGCACAUAUUUGUGCAUGAAGAUGAAAAAGAUGUAGAGAUAUGGAUAUCCGAGGCUCGAUUAGCUAAACUAUUACAAACUAUCAUCCAUAAGUUCGCCUGACAAUGAAGCGUCGUGACAACUAGUACACAGAGUUUCGGUGUAUCGUCACAAAGGAUUUUAAUCGAUCUAAUAAUACCACCAUACGAUGUGUCACCGGCGAACGAAAGUUAACAUUUAACACGGCAAUAGUCACUACCACAGACAGAGUUACCAGCACCAUUGUGAACA